UCACGGAAGCGUCGGUGCCUCCGGAACGCGAUGGGCUGAGAUGUGAGGCAGGGUCCCCACGCUGCGGGCGCCGACCUUCGGCAAUCUUCCCGUGGACAGACACCCAGCGUGAAUCUGCUUUUGAUCGCGGGAGGAUGUAGGUGUGAUCUGUUGGAAGCCGUCAGUGAGGACGGGAUGUCCCCGCUGGCCUGUAGGACGCGCCAACACAGCUGCAGAGCUUCGAUCCGAGCUUUCCACUUACAGCAGCCCACCUUACCUGGUGUGCUUUUCACGGAGUCUAGGCUUUGGGACGUGCUUCAUUAACUAUUACUUAAACUCCACGGAAUCCUA